rnacentral:rRNA from 1 species
CACGUAGGGCGCAAGCGUUGCUCGGAAUCACUGGGCGUAAAGCGCACGUAGGCGGAUUGUUAAGUCAGGGGUGAAAUCCUGGAGCUCAACUCCAGAACUGCCUUUGAUACUGGCGAUCUUGAGUCCGGGAGAGGUGAGUGGAACUGCGAGUGUAGAGGUGAAAUUCGUAGAUAUUCGCAAGAACACCAGUGGCGAAGGCGGCUCACUGGCCCGGUACUGACGCUGAGGUGCGAAAGCGUGGGGAGCAAACAGG